AGCAGUUCUCAGGUGAUGCAUCCCAGAAUUGGGCUCCCUCCUCUCUGGUUCCAGGUGCAUCACCCGAGAAUUGCC
rfam:Myotis lucifugus cont2.24223, whole genome shotgun sequence.